rnacentral:rRNA from 1 species
AACGAACGCUGGCGGCAUGCCUAACACAUGCAAGUCGAACGAGACCUUCGGGUCUAGUGGCGCACGGGUGCGUAACGCGUGGGAACCUGCCCUUAGGUUCGGAAUAACUCCCCGAAAGGGGUGCUAAUACCGGAUAAUGUCUUCGGACCAAAGAUUUAUCGCCUUUGGAAGGGCCCGCGUUGGAUUAGCUAGUUGGUAGGGUAAAAGCCUACCAAGGCGACGAUCCAUAGCUGGUCUGAGAGGAUGAUCAGCCACACUGGGACUGAGACACGGCCCAGACUCCUACGGGAGGCAGCAGUGGGGAAUAUUGGACAAUGGGCGAAAGCCUGAUCCAGCAAUGCCGCGUGAGUGAUGAAGGCCUUAGGGUUGUAAAGCUCUUUUACCCGGGAUGAUAAUGACAGUACCGGGAGAAUAAGCUCCGGCUAACUCCGUG